CUGUUAAGGUGUAGAGACCUGACUAUGAUGUGUCUGGGGGUGUUUCUUCUAGGGUCUGGUCUACUAGGUGUUCUAUAUGUUUCUGUUAUUUGGGUAAGAUUUUCCCUUUUGAGAUUGGGGAAAUUCUCUACAAUAACUAUUGAAUAUAUGCUGUAUACCUCUGCUCUGAUAUUCCUCCUUCAUCUGUUCUGAUUAUACGCCAAUUAUAUCUCUUCUCCCUGUCCAUUAUCUCCUGGAUUAAUCUGUGAUGAAGGUUGAC